GACAGAGGAUGCAAGCGUUAUCCGGAAUGAUUGGGCGUAAAGCGUCUGUAGGUGGCUUCUUAAGUCCGCUGUCAAAUCCCAGGGCUUAACCCUGGCCAGGCGGUGGAGACUACUAAGCUUGAGUACGGGUAGGGGCAGAGGGAAUUUCCGGUGGAGCGGUGAAAUGCGUAGAGAUCGGAAAGAACACCAACGGCGAAAGCACUCUGCUGGGCCGACACUGACACUGAGAGACGAAAGCUAGGGGAGCGAAUGGGG
rnacentral:rRNA from 1 species